rnacentral:rRNA from 1 species
CCUACGGGUGGCAGCAGUGAGGAAUAUUGGUCAAUGGGCGGAAGCCUGAACCAGCCAAGUAGCGUGCAGGAUGACGGCCCUACGGGUUGUAAACUGCUUUUAUACGGGAAUAACGCGCUGUACGUGUAGGGCUUUGCAUGUACCGUAUGAAUAAGGACCGGCUAACUCCGUGCCAGCAGCCGCGGUAAUACGGAAGGUCCGGGCGUUAUCCGGAUUUAUUGGGUUUAAAGGGAGCGUAGGCCGCAUGUCAAGCGUGCUGUGAAAUUUCCGGGCUCAACCCGGGCCUUGCAGUGCAAACUGGCGUGCUUGAGUCCGCGAGAGGCAGGCGGAAUUCGUCGUGUAGCGGUGAAAUGCUUAGAUAUGACGAAGAACCCCGAUUGCGAAGGCAGCUUGCUGCAGCGGAACUGACGCUGAUGCUCGAAAGCGCGGGUAUCGAACAGGAUUAGAUACCCUAGUAGUC